UACGGGGGGAGCAAGCGUUGUUCGGAUUUACUGGGCGUAAAGGGCGCGUAGGCGGCGUGACAAGUCACUUGUGAAAUCUCCGGGCUUAACUCGGAACGGUCAAGUGAUACUGUCGUGCUAGAGUACAGAAGGGGCAACUGGAAUUCUCGGUGUAGCGGUGAAAUGCGUAGAUAUCGAGAGGAACACCUGCGGCGAAGGCGGGUUGCUGGGCUGAUACUGACGCUGAGGCGCGAAAGCUAGGGGGAGCGAACGGG
rnacentral:rRNA from 1 species